UGACCAUCACCCUGUGUAAAAAAAUAAUUACGACGUAUGUAAGUAACUAAACUAUAAUGAAUUCCUUUCAAAUUAUAAAGGUGGCGCAGGAGUCGAACAAGCAGGCGAAGCGUUGACGAAGCCAGGAAAACAACAUGGAAUGUUGUUACUGUGCUAACAUUUCUGUCGGCUACGACUGCUACGACUCCUAGUUAAAUGGUUGAAUAUUCUUCGGUUCUGCAGUCAAGUAUAGGCGAAGAUCGAACGUCGGUUGGUGUGUUCGCAAUGUGCGUAUGACGGAUCGAAAGUGACCAUAGAAGGCGCCUAGCCAAAGUCCGGAUCGCAGUGAAUGUAUACGCGCCCUCGAAUCGGGGGCUCUAUCAAUGCUCCCAGUUCUCAUGUGACGCCUGAUGGACACGCCGAGCUCUCUUCCGAAAUCGGAGGACGAACGCCUCUACACACCGAGGAGAGGCCUCUGCUCAACUGCGUCGUCAUAGCAGCAUUCACGCUGUGGCUGUUCGUCUUGGAGCGGAGCUGAAGGCCGUGAAACUAUGCAUAUGAGCAACAACGCACGCUACAUAUUCGCUCGUACCGUGCAGAAAAUGGCAUGAACUACAUAAUUGCAAUACCUGUACAGGGGCCCGGAGAGAACAAAAUGUAUAUUGAGAAGAAAUUCUCACUCAACAUGGAGCCGGCCACUCCAAAGAUUCUUCCAACACGCUACUUGCUUCAAAACAGGGCCAAGAACGAAGAAAAAUACGGGAAAAAAAACGCUAAUUCUAUCUAUGAUGUACGCCACGUCACCGUUCUCUAGUCUUAUACGCGAUGUACUUUUGAGGACUUCCAAAAAUUCUUAAAUGUAGAGCGCUUAAAAUAAAAGCGCGAUCUUUUUAGAGAAGCCGGAGGAUAAUCGAGAACGGCGGACGUCGGAACACAGACUAUGGUCCUAAUUGUCUCGCUAAUUAGUUAUAUGCACUAAUUAGCGUUAACUAGCGCAUUUAUAUGGCUUCAGGGAAUGUAAAGUUCGUAGCAAUUGACGAAGUGAUCUGAUGUCAAUUUUCAAAUCGCGUGACAAGUCCUUCUGCUAGGUCCUGCAGCAGAAGAAAUUUUCUUACUUUUUCCGCUGGGAAACUGAAACUGCGCUUGUGGGGAAACCACGUGUACAAGCCGUACCACGCAAUGCGAACCAUCUUUAUUGUUUCGAUGUGGUGAUUACGGCUCAUGAAGUGUCCUUGGCUUCACUGUGACGUUGGCACGUCAGAAUAUCGGCAAUGACCCAUCGUUGGCACCGCUAAUGUAAUUACUUGCUUACUGCUAGAAAUGUGCUCAUUUUCGGUGAUUUUAUGUUUUAACGUUUUAUUUCAAGGCGCAAUAGUCGCAACGUAUGUGACACAUGAAAUCACAGCCUGUUCACUGGUGUUUUAAAUGGAUGUAAACCUCGAUUAGGGCGAGUUGGUUUAUCUUGACAGUGUUCACAAAACGCGCUAAUGACGAAGACGACAGGAACACAUACGACAGAAGGGGCGCUGAACUUUCAACUAUAGCGUUUAUUUCAAACGAUCGUCCAUUUUAUGCUAAAUCGUCCAUUUUUAUGUGAUCGUCCAUUUUUAGCAUAAUAUGGAGGAUCGUUUGAAAUAAACGCUACUUCGAAGUUCAGCACCCAUCCUGUCCUAUGUGUCCCUGUCGUCUUCGUCUUUAGCGCGGUUUGUGAACACUGUCAAGAUGUCAAGAAGUAAUAACUAUGGAAUUAGUUUUUGAGAAUGUUUAUGUGAAACUGGAAAGGACCACCUCUAGGAACAUCAACGAAACAAAUAAGUACCGAGAGCAAAAGAAAAUUCAGAAAUAUAUAUAAUAUAUGCGCCUGACUCCCAAUGCUCAACUUCUGAAGUCAGGCCACGCAAAAAAAUAUUAUGGAAAUUUAUUGGCGUCAAUAUUAGCCACAAUGAUGUCCAUUCUAUGCGGGAAAGCAGUAUCUUCAGAAAUGUGAAAACGAUCAAGUUCAUAUUACACAGGAAACAUUUGUUUUUGUAAUUGCCGCAGGCACCUGGCUCGUUUUUUAGUGCAUUCCUUAUGCUCGAGAAGCAUUGGUUGUCAGGUCAGGGAGUAUGAAGAAGCCUCCUCAUACUUGAUUAGUUGAUUAUUGCGCUUGUUGCGAUUAUUGCGGAUUAAAUCGGCUGCGUGCUGUUGUGUGAAUGAAAACACCACACAAUGGGAAGGAUUGCGCGUAACAAUUUCGAUAUAUGGUGUCAAAACGCGGAUAGAUUAAAGACACCCACGAUGGGAAAAGUAAAGUUGCACUUUAUAUAUCAGUCGAAUAAAAUUACUAAAGCGUGUCCUUGUGUGAGUGAAAUCCCCGCACGACGGGAUGGAUUGCUUGUAAUAAUUUGUUCAUACGCUGUCGAGUGGAUAAAGGCAACCGGCGAUGGGAAAAAUAACCGUGCACUUUGUAUUAUUCGAACACAAUCAUCAAAAUAAGACGCGGUCAUGAGCAUCUGCCGUUGUUUGAGACAUCGUUGAAACAGCUUAGACGUAUCGGAAAAUAAGACAACCUGACAGAAGCUUCUAAGCGUUUUUUUUUUUUUUUUUUUUUUUCCCGUUUGAUUGAGGAAAUGCUAGGAGCACUGCAGGCUAGUUUCGACGACAGCUCCAGUAAAAGUUCUUUUUUUUCUUCCAGACUCCCCAAUAUGCCAAAAAUAGUAAAAUCUGACCAAUAGCUUAAGUUUAAUCGUCAUUUCACACGGCGCGUAGCGUUGCUAGUAGAAUUAUUCGAACAGACAUGUUGAGGAACGUGUAGAAAAACUAUGGAUCAAAUUGAUCGAUUGCUAUAGGCCUGGUAAGGAAAUAGUUAAACGGUCACAAACGUCGCGAUCAUCACUUUUUCAGGGGCGGCAGCCACGCACAAGAAGAAUAAAAAAAAGCACCCCUACCAUGCGCCGCCAAGUAAAAUUCUAGACAAGCUUGACAAAAGAGCUAGUGCACUAUAAGCUUCAUUUUGGCGCAUCGGUGACGUGCGAGGGAAGUGCCCACGACGAACCGUAAUCACCACGUCAACAGUGUACUAGUACACUGUAAAACGACGAAAUAAGAAAGACGGUUUGGCUCACGUGACACAGACAAGGAAACGUCAGAGGACGUCCACAAUUGACGUGUCCUCUGCACGUGGUUUCUUGCAUUCCUGAUGCGCCAAAUUUGUUACCCAGCUGUCUCAUGCUGCGCGGCCUAGGAUAAGGACUUCUCGCGUGAUCUGAAAACUAUCAGUUUUCGUCGACAGUUACAACUAUUACAUUGUCAACAGCUGCGUAUGUACGCUAGUGAAAUAGUACAAUUAUUGAAUUUGACUAUAGUCCGAAAAUUAGAACACCUGACGUGUUUUUCUGAUGUACACCGUUCCAGAGAAUUCGUCUUCUAACAAAUCAUAUUUAUUUAUUUAUUUAUUUAUUUAUUUAUUUAUUUAUUUAUUUAUUUAUUUAUUUAAAUACUCGCAAUGCCAUUGUGGCGUUACAGAGAGGAGUGGUGUUCAAUAUGUUCACGUGUUCAUGUUCAAAAUGGGAGUCUUGAAUGAUGCAUGCUCAUGGUUGCUGGCGAUGGAGGUACGGAGGUGAUUCCAUUUUUACCUUGAGCGCUCUAGUUUCAGGAAUGUUUGGCAGUCUGCAAAAAACACGCGGUAUUGAUUCACAACACAAUGUACAUCCUAUUGUGAAGAAAUAUAGGCCUGCCGCCCACUGUAGAAACGCCCAUGUCGCGCACUGGCGGCAACGACCGGCUAUCCUUUCUUUUUCCAACUGUACAUUUAAUAUACAGGGUACCCCUACUAUCAUGCGCCAAGAUUUAAACAUGAGCAAAUGCCACGUAGAUGGACAGAACUAAGGUAAUGUUAUUUGCCGUCGCUUGGAGAUACUCAGAUUAUUUUUUCAUUCCGCCUAAUUACAUAAUUAGUCUCAAUUAAUCAACUUCCGAAAUAUCAUAACUACAUUAAAAGUGCCAGUCAGAAAAUUGUAGAGCAACAUGAAAAUUUUCAGAUACAGCUUUCUGUUGCCCAAUAUGUGCUACAUAAAAGUGUUCCUCCGAGCGUGAAGGAAGCCUGCGAAUACACAUAAUAUGCCUCGAGCGGCCAGUCGUGCCGCAAUUUUCCGUGUAUUUGCGGGCUUUUACGCUCGGAAUAAAUCCUUUGUGUAGUACGUAUGGAGCAACAGAAAGAUGUAUUGGGAGUUGUUCUUGUUGCUCUGCAAUUUUCUCAUUCAAGCAUUUAAUCUAAUUACAAUAAUUGAGAAGUUGAUUAUUUAUGUAAUUAGGCGGAAUACAAAAAUUAAUCUGGGUAUCUCCAAGUGAAGGCAAACGACAUUACCUUGGUUCGGUCCAGCUACGUCGCAUUCGUAUAUAUUAAAAUCUUGCCGCAUGAUAGUUGGCACACCCUGUAUAUUACGGGAUGCAGUGCAACUACCUCAAAUACUGUAGAAAGUAUUGCGCACACUAAACGAAAACAACAAGAAAAGGACCCAAAGACGGCGCUGGUCUUUGUGUCCACUUCUUUUUGUCUUCGUUGAAUGUGCGCAAAACUUUACACUAUGAAGUCAAACCAACUAGCCCGCCUCUCAGUCUUAUUGCCUAAUACGGUAGUAUUUGCGCAGCAUAUACGUGGGUUGUAUAGUUGUCCCUCGACAGUGGGUACGCAUAGAACAAAUUAACCCGCAUUUUCAUUUGAACGAUAAACAAUAAGGAGGUCGUUCAGAGCUAAGAAGCAUACCCCCUUUUGCUUUGUUAUGCCUACCACUGUGUGCGUGCGUGUGUGUGUGUGUGUGUGUGUGUGUGUGUGUGUGUGUGUGUGUGUGUGUGUGUGUGUGUGUGUGUGUGUGUGUGUGUGUGUGUGUGUGUGUGUGUGUGUCCAUGAAAGCGGGUGCGGGGGCCUUCCUUGCGCGCAAUAAAGCUUCGUUUCAUGAUAUGCUGUUGUUUAUUGAUCUCAAGGGUACUGACCUUCGCCACAAAGCUGACUUCUCAGUUUUCUUUGUGUGUGCGUGCGUGUUUUAACACAAUGUCUUCCUUGGCGAGCCUGGAUAAAGCGAUGUCUCAAUAUGUGGGCCUACUGCGAAGGCAGUGGAAAGACGGAUGCAAGUGUCCCUGUUUGCGCGCCUAACUUUUUUCAAAGUCCGACGCUCUUCCUACUCCCCUCACGCUACGGGUGACGCCAUAAAGUGCCAUGCGAUGUGACUCCGCCCUCGGCACGUAGAGGAGCGCUACGCCGCGAUGAUCGCGAAGGGGAACUUUCAGUACAUCGGGGGAGCGUCAAGGAACGAGACAGAGAGAGAUAUGUUAUUGAUAGGAAAGACAAAGUCGUCGACAUGAGCUAGUGCACUCUAGUUUGCUACGCUGCACUAGUUACAGUACGUAUAUGCUAACUAUGCAGUAACUCUAGGAUGAGAGAGGAGGACCGAUGUUCUUUCACAAGAGUCCCGGCGGCUACGGUGUCGUGUUGAUCGGCGACGUCCGUUCUCCGAUUGGAGACACCGGAUGUCGCUCCAGCGCGGCUCACAAUAAAACGUACGGUUCAGAAACCCCAUUCUCAUCCCGAACUUUCUUUCAUCGACUUCAACUAGAGGUGGAAUCGCCUUCAAACUUUCCUUUUUUUUUUUUUUUUCUGGCGACUUUAACCAGGUAAGAACUGCAGCAGUGAGCCACAGAUUUUCUACAGCGCAAGCCUAUAUACUAGGGAUUUCGAUGCGGCGCGGGAACUUCGCUCAAAGGUGGGUAUGUAUUACCAGCGUAUACCUCUGCGCUGUGCCGACGCUCGUGCAACGUUUGUGAACCCGCUGCGAUGGCUCAGUGCCUGUGUGGAGCGCUGCUGCUGCUGAGCACGACGUCGCGGGAUUCCUGACCGCGGUGACCGCUUUCCGCAGACUGUUCUUUGUGUUGCGCAUCAAUAAAACUGAAGUGUGUAAACGAUGUUGCAUUAUUCGUUGCAAAUUAGCAUGCUAUCGGCCAUUCUACCUAAAUGCCAUGGCAAGGACCACGCUUCUUGGCCUAGCUACACUGAAGUGGCGUCGUAUGAGUGCACACCUCGGAAAGUUGCCUGGCGUGGGCAACGACCAUUGUAUGGGAAGGGCUGCCUACAUGUGAGCUGAUUUGGCAGCGAAAACCAGGAGCAAAAGAACGCCGUUACUGACUCCGCGUGAUCGAUCCUACCGAUUAAGCUUCCUACUGACACCUGAUCGUUGUUAUAAUUUGUUGGCGGAUGCCCGACAGGUAUUUGUGGAAGUAUCGGCAUUAAUAAUCAUGUCUCGAUCUCGCACAAAGCUCUCGGUAGUGACCAUUGCACAGACUAGGUUUUUGCUGUGACUUCGUCAUGGGGCUGUCAUGUUGUAAAGUCCUG